CUGCAGAGAGAAGUUUCUCUUCUAUGGUUCUUCACGGCUUCUCAUCUAACACUAUCUACACCAACACCAGAAUCUACUUCUCCUUCUUGAGCAGCAACAAUAUUUCAGUGAAACACAUCAUCGUUUUCUCAUACUUAGAAAGUGUUUGCGACACCUUCAUCUUCUGUUUGUGGAUUUUAGUUGAUCUUGAAGGGAUUUUCUAGAUUUUUGGGUAAUUGAAUUAUGUUUUUGGAGAUUGGUUAACAACCUGGGGAUAGUGGCAUUCAAUCAGAGAGCUUCACAAAAGUUAAUUAUUUUAUUUAUUGUUCUGUUAAUCUGUUUAUCUUGAUGUGUUCGAUCAGAGAGCUGUUUUUCCUCCAUUUUCAUGCCAACCUCCCUAUUAUCGUAGUUUCUUGGUUGGCAUCCAGUUAGCUGGUGGACGAAAAGCCUGUCAAAAUUUACAAUCCCCCGAAGGGUCUCAACUCAAUUCUUUGUCUGUCUUAAUGAACACAAGUUAACCGCCAGAAUUCGACAUGGAUGUUUGUACAUGAAGUGCAUAUUCAUUGAGCGCAAGUUGAGUUGGUCCUCAAUAGCUGAGCAUAUACUUUCGCAUCAACUAUGAAAGGACAUGAAAGGAGUUGGUAGAGUUAAAUGAAUUGAUUGCCUCGAUAGAACAUACGCCUCCCAGGCGAUUAAGCCACCUUAAAGAGGCUCGAGGUCAUCUACACUGAGCAUUAGAUGAAGUAAUGACAAGGGACCGCACCCU